rnacentral:rRNA from 1 species
ACCCGCUGAACUUAAGCAUAUCAAUAAGCGGAGGAAAAGAAACCAACAGGGAUUGCCCUAGUAACGGCGAGUGAAGCGGCAACAGCUCAAAUUUGAAAUCUGGCGCAAGCCCGAGUGGUAAUUUGUAGAGGAUGCUUCUAGGUAGCGACCGGUCUAAGUUCCUUGGAACAGGACGUCAUAGAGGGUGAGAAUCCCGUAUGUGACUGGCCCGCACCUUCUACGUAGCUCCUUCGACGAGUCGAGUUGUUUGGGAAUGCAGCUCUAAAUGGGAGGUAAAUUUCUUCUAAAGCUAAAUACCGGCCAGAGACCGAUAGCGCACAAGUAGAGUGAUCGAAAGAUGAAAAGCACUUUGGAAAGAGAGUUAAAAAGCACGUGAAAUUGUUGAAAGGGAAGCGCUCACAACCAGACUUCUAGGCAGUGUUCCGCCGGUCUUUUGACCGGUCUACUCUCUGUCUCGAGGCCAACAUCAUCUGGGACCGCCGGAUAAGACCUUAGGAAUGUAGCUCCCCUCGGGGAGUGUUAUAGCCUCUGGUGAUGCGGCGCGUCUCGGGUGAGGUCCGCGCUUCGGCAAGGAUGUUGGCGUAAUGGUUGUCAGCGGCCCGUCUUGAAACACGGACCAAGGAGUCUAACAUCUAUGCGAGUGUUCGGGUGUCAAACCCCUACGCGUAAUGAAAGUGAACGGAGGUGGGAAGCGUAAGCUGCACCAUCGACCGAUCCUGAUGUCCUCGGAUGGAUUUGAGUAAGAGCAUAGCUGUUGGGACCCGAAAGAUGGUGAACUAUGCCUGAAUAGGGUGAAGCCAGAGGAAACUCUGGUGGAGGCUCGCAGCGGUUCUGACGUGCAAAUCGAUCGUCAAAUUUGGGUAUAGGGGCGAAAGACUAAUCGAACCAUCUAGUAGCUGGUUCCUGCCGAAGUUUCCCUCA